UUACCGUAAAAUAGUAACAUGGACCAUAAUUUCCAAUGAUUUAUGAUAAAAAUACUAUAUUUUUCAAUGUAACAGCAAACCGAUAAAAAAUAAAAUAAAAUGCCAAACGAUUUACGAAAUGCACCCAUUUUAUAUAACAAUUCUUGUAUUGAACACACAAAUUUCCGGAGACGAAUACAUCGAUAAUUUUGAAGAUAUAGUCUGGCAACGAUAUAGCCUACGUACUGAAAAGGAAUCUUUGAACUUAUCCAAAACCUUCUUUCCUCCCUUAAAGAAUUAUGAAGUUAACGCCACCCGUGUGUCGGAAGAUGUGUACCCAUGGAUUGCCCGGGUUAUUCAUUCUCGGAAUUCAGAUAAACCACACGUGUGCACCGCUGUAUGUGUUAAAGAGGAAAUAUUUGUAACUGCUGCUAGGUGCAUUGCUACCCUACACAUCACCUACACCAGAGUUAUUUAUAAAGAUCACAGAAUAUUUUCAAAAGCCUUUAUUGUACCUUCAAAUGGAUCAAAACAAGGAUAUGAUGAUGUUGGAUUUAUCGUGGUACAUAAACGAUAUUAUAUGGGCGUAUGGCACACAAUAGACAUUUACCCUCUAAACAGAACUGACACUGCAUAUGAAUGGUUUAGAAAUAGUAGCUUUAAUGAUACUCAUAAAGUAGUUGGUUAUACAAUUAAAAAGAGCGCGGCGCCCACGUUUGGUAGCAUUGUUUAGAAGCAAGAACAACUUAUUAAAGCUAUCAGCAUCGGUACUCUCAAUAACGAUAUCGAUCCCGGAUUUAAAGAUGAGAAUUGCAUACAAAAACAUCGGAAUUACUGCCGCUAUUGGAAACAUAACGAGCUGAUAUUAACAUCACCAAGCGAUUUACUGUACAUUUAAAAUAUAUGCACUACUAAAAAAAGUACAUAUCGUCUUUCGCAGGGUUUUCAUAGAAUAAGAAACCCACUAUCAGACUUCUUUCUAACAGAACUCGAAGUUUUCAUAGACAUAACGUUGUGUAAUGAAGUUUAUACGUUCAACAACCUUAUGGGGGACUUUAAUGUGCCUUGCUAUCAUUCUUGCACGUUGGAUGAUUACAGACAUGACGAACAACGAUGUUCCAUGUACCAUGGAGUUGAAGGAGGCGCGGUAUUCAAUACAAAAACCAACAUCUUGCUAGGGGUUGCAACUUGGGGUGCUUUUUAUAGUAAAUAUGAAUUGCCGGUAGGAUUGUCUGUGGUAAAUUCUGCAAGUUUUUAUGAAGACUAUGCUUGUGCUAUGAAAAUACAGGAUGAUAGCAGAGUUGAGGUUGAAAAAGGAUUUUAUCAAUCACUUUGCAAUGGACAAUAACUGUUACUUGAAGAGUAUAUUUCAGUAAAUAAAUGAAAGAUGUUUUA